UGCUGGGUGCGGAGCCCCGUGGUGCACAGUGUCCUGGUCAUGGGCUACGGCGGCCUCACGUCCCUCUUCAACCUGGUGGUGCUGGCCUGGGCACUGUGGACCCUGCGCAGGCUGCGGGCGCGGGUGGAUGCACCGAGUUCCAGGGCCUGCCAUGACACUGUCACUGUGCUGGGCCUCACCGUGCUGCUGGGAACCACCUGGGCUUUGGCCUUCUUUUCUUUUGGCGUCUUCCUGCUGCCCCAGCUGUUCCUCUUCACCAUCUUAAACUCGCUCUACGGCAAAGGAGGGGGCACUGUUUCUAAGAAGAGUGAUGAUACCAUCGUAUUUUUGAAAAAUGAUAAAACAGCAUGGGGGAAACUGCUAUGUCUUCCAUAUUCAGUCUUUUUCUUCUCCGAGCCCAUUUCCUCCCUAGCAAUGAUAAGAGGAAACACUCCCGCGCUUGUGGGUGGCGAUGACAUCCCUGCCAUCUAUGAGGUGGAGCAUUUCCAACAAGAGCAGGUUUGA
rnacentral:sRNA from 1 species